AGGCAGAUGCUCACUUCGCUAUCUAUUCUGAAAUGACUGGGUGCGUGUACCUGUGAGUAGAUGAUUCAACAUCAGCGUUUUGCCAACCAUCCCUACUGUAACACGUAUGCAAUUUCAAGUUCUUCAGAAACACUGCUAAAGAAGAGAUACCUCUAUCAGCUCUAAGACUUCACCAGGAAGUCCACCCAACUCCCGCAAACCCCCAAAACUCCAGUUUCCAAGAGAAUUCACUUUGGCCCCUGCCUGUCAGACCAGAACUGGAGAGAAUGAAUGCCCCACAGAAGCAGCCCUCAAACACUCACAAGAGCUCCUAGCCC